AGUGGCGGACGGGUGAGUAACACGUGGGAACGUGCCUUUAGGUUCGGAAUAAGCCCGGGAAACUGGGUCUAAUACCGGAUGUGCCCUUCGGGGGAAAGAUUUAUCGCCUUUAGAGCGGCCCGCGUCUGAUUAGCUAGUCGGUGGUGUAAUGGACCACCAAGGCGACGAUCAGUAGCUGGUCUGAGAGGAUGAUCAGCCACAUUGGGACUGAGACACGGCCCAAACUCCUACGGGAGGCAGCAGUGGGGAAUCUUGCGCAAUGGGCGAAAGCCUGACGCAGCCAUGCCGCGUGAAUGAUGAAGGUCUUAGGAUUGUAAAAUUCUUUCACCGGGGACGAUAAUGACGGUACCCGGAGAAGAAGCCCCGGCUAACUUCGUGCCAGCAGCCGCGGUAAUACGAAGGGGGCUAGCGUUGCUCGGAAUUACUGGGCGUAAAGGGAGCGUAGGCGGACAUUUAAGUCAGGGGUGAAAUCCCGGGGCUCAACCUCGGAACUGCCUUUGAUACUGGGUGUCUUGAGUGUGAUAGAGGUAUGUGGAACUCCGAGUGUAGAGGUGAAAUUCGUAGAUAUUCGGAAGAACACCAGUGGCGAAGGCGACAUACUGGAUCAUUACUGACGCUGAGGCUCGAAAGCGUGGGGAGCAAACAGGAUUAGAUACCCUGGUAGUCCACGCCGUAAACGAUGAUUGCUAGUUGUCGGGG
rnacentral:rRNA from 1 species